rnacentral:rRNA from 1 species
CAGUCGCCGCGGGAACACGUAGGUGGCAAGCGUUGUCCGGAAUUAUUGGGCGUAAAGGGCUCGCAGGCGGUUUCUUAAGUCUGAUGUGAAAGCCCCCGGCUCAACCGGGGAGGGUCAUUGGAAACUGGGAAACUUGAGUGCAGAAGAGGAGAGUGGAAUUCCACGUGUAGCGGUGAAAUGCGUAGAGAUGUGGAGGAACACCAGUGGCGAAGGCGACUCUCUGGUCUGUAACUGACGCUGAGGAGCGAAAGCGUGGGGAGCGAACAGGAUUAGAUACCCCUGUAGUCCCUGUCUCUUAUAC